rnacentral:sRNA from 1 species
ACUCAACGUUAAUUCUUUAAAAAGGGUGAGUUUAAGUUGUAAAAGCGAGCUACCUUGAGUAGAUACUUGAUCAGCUUGUUAGCCCUAAACUUGUUUUUAAGGAGUUU